rnacentral:lncRNA from 1 species
CAUGAACAACAUGUAAAGCGAUUAUACUUUAUAAUGUUGAUACUAAAUGAACAAUUUGGUGAUUAGUUCAAUAAAUUGUCAUCCCUAAUUAUUGUUAGUUAAAAUUAUCUAAAACCCUGAUUGCCACCAACCGCAACCUUCGGAACUCGCAAUGAUGGGCUCAUCCCUCUACCCUUCUCUACUGAAAUGUCAUGCUUAGUUCGUAUGUAUGAAGGAUACUCAAUCUUCUAUGCUUAAUGAAAUCUCAUGGGUACACCACACAACAUAAUAAGAGAAAACAUGCUACUCCUCAAAUGUAUAAAGUCCUUCUCUAUUCCAUCAAAAGCUCUCGUGUUUCUCUCUCUCUCCAAAUGAUCCACAUGAUUGCAAGUGGAUCCACAUCCCAAGGUUUGCGUCUUUUUCUCCUCCUUCUGAAUGUCCAGCUGAACAUUUCUCCUUUAUUGUGCCUGACAUCAUCGACAUCACCCACUGAAGUCCAAACCAACCCAAUACUUCACAAAACAAAAUGCAAUCUGACAAUAUAAAAGAUGGCAAUAUAAAUCCUCGCCCAAGCACUUGCACAUGAAACCAACUGACACUUGUAACUUUCCUCUUCCUCAAAUUCUCAGCCAUUAGAAUCACCCCCUCGUAGCUACACAUGUGAAGAAGCACACCUUUCUCGGAACUCUAGGAAUCCAAACUGAGAGAUAAGGAAAGAUUGCUUCCUGUCUACCUAAAAGUAAACGAUUAAAUGUCCUUCAAACACCCCAAACAAUUAAAUGUCAUUUAUGGUCGCAAUGGCAAGCGUUACUGAAGAGGCUUCAAUGGAAUUUCUUGUGGGGCAUAGAAAAGGGGAUAAAAUGUCAUUUAAUGAACUAGAAUGUGGCUACAAGCCCUAUAAGGUAUGAAGGGUGUGGAGUGCAAGAUUUGAGGAUGUUCAAGAAAGCCUUAUUGGGAAUUGGCUCGGGAGGUUCGCUAAGGAAUGUUAAGAAAAAUUUACCUUCGACAUGACUCGACUCCAAAAGUCAGCUCUCAGUCUUGCAGGUUUCCCAAGGCUAUAUACAGAUUAGUUUUCCAACACAUGCAUUACACGUGUAUUCCAUGCUAUAAGUACAAAUUUCUUUAAAUGAUAUAACAACAACAACAACUACCCAGUAAAUCCCACUAGGUGGGGUCUGGGGAGGGUAAUAUG